GUAUCAUUCGUUCAUUUGUUUUUCCGAUUUCAAAACCAAAACCAGAAAUCGGAUAACGGUUCGUUUUCUCGUUUUUCCGAUUUCAAAACCAAAACCAGAAAUCGGAUUACGGUUCGUUUUCUCGUUUUUCGUUUUCUCGUUUUUUCGAUUAUGCACCCCCAAACGGAAAAUGGAAAAUGAAACAUUCGGAUAACAAAUCCUGGGAAUGUUAGUUGUCAGGGAAACCGAUCGCGAGCCAACAACUGACUCAUGCCACAACUGAUCUGUAAGGAAACAUGGCUAAUUUGGAGUCUCACUACGAGAUGAUAAAUCAACUCUUUCUGUCGGGGAAAACUCACGCCGAAAUGUCUGAGACAUUGAAGAGUAUGGGAAUUAAGGGGUCCUCGGAGAUGUCGGUGAGGAGAUUCUGUGGCGACGUUGGGCUGAGACGGAAGGGGCACAUCACAGACCAAGAGCUGGAAGAAGCUGUCCUGACAUCUAUUCAAAAGACCGGUCCAACGUACGGACGGAAAUUUAUGACAGGGUACCUGUCAUCUGUGGGGGUGAAAGUGGGUGAAAUAAUAAAUUUGACUGUACACAACAUAGGCAUACUAGUAUUCUGUUGUCCAACGGUGCAACAAAAUGUCCUGUGGUGCGACAAAUUGAAUUGUGAGGGGAAAAGGUAUUUUAAUGAAAAAUGUAUGUAAAAAGUGUUGGAUAGUAUAACAAUGAUAUCAUCACUAUGCAGCUUUAAGGAUGAAAUGAAGAUUCCUUGAGUUUUAUACAAAUUAUAAUGAAUGUAACCCAGACAUUUGGGUUAAGUCUCUAUGUGUACAUCUUAUAGUAUAUAAAUAACAUAAUUCUGAAUUUGUUGGGGGUAUGUUUGAUGUGGAAAUAUAAUUGGGACAAACUAAUAUGCCUUGUGCUUAUCUAUCUUACCUGUCCAACAUUCUCUGAAUUAAAUAAUGGCAUUCUUUA